rnacentral:rRNA from 1 species
GACGAACGCUGGCGGCGUGCUUAACACAUGCAAGUCGAACGGAAAGGCCCUGCUUUUGUGGGGUGCUCGAGUGGCGAACGGGUGAGUAACACGUGAGUAACCUGCCCUUGACUUUGGGAUAACUUCAGGAAACUGGGGCUAAUACCGGAUAGGAGCUCCUGCUGCAUGGUGGGGGUUGGAAAGUUUCGGCGGUUGGGGAUGGACUCGCGGCUUAUCAGCUUGUUGGUGGGGUAGUGGCUUACCAAGGCUUUGACGGGUAGCCGGCCUGCGAGGGUGACCGGCCACAUUGGGACUGAGGUACGGCCCAGACUCCUACGGGAGGCAGCAGUGGGGAAUAUUGCACAAUGGGCGGAAGCCUGAUGCAGCAACGCCGCGUGCGGGAUGACGGCCUUCGGGUUGUAAACCGCUUUCGCCUGUGACGAAGCGUGAGUGACGGUAAUGGGUAAAGAAGCACCGGCUAACUACGUG